GCCUUUGUGGUGUAGUAGUCAGCACGCUCGACGCAUAACUAAGAGGUCCGUGGUUCAACUCCCGGCAAAGGCG
rnacentral:tRNA from 1 species